UGACUUCUCGCCUCCUUCUUCAAGGCCACCAACUUGUCUCGUCUGGCCUUCAGAUAAGCCUGCCUCUUCUUCAUGUCCUCCUCCGACACCUGAAACGUUCGGAUCUCUAAAAUGAACCGUUACUUGAAAGUUGGCGACGACAGGGACUCCGUUUCCGGCGUCUUGUCCUGCUGCGACGCCUUCAGAGCUUCUUCCAACAGGGCUCUCUCGUUGUUGUAUUUGGCCGUCAACCGCUCGUGCUCCUUGAUCAGCGACGUCUCCGACGCCUCUAUAUCCUGCUCUUCCUCUGGAUCAUCGUCCAGAGCGUGUUUCCUGUGAACAGGUGUCGUCGUGCGAUCCGUCCGUUUCAUACAUCAAGGAGGCUGGCGUCAGACCGUACUUCUGCUCGAUCACGUUCAGAGCCUGCAACUGCAGUUCCAAGUUCUUCUGUAUCAUCAUCCUCUUGAAUAUCUCGUACUCGUUCGCAGCCCAUAUCUGCUCGAACAGGUUCUAGAAAAUAUAACGAAAGAGUCACUACGAGACAAGUUUCGCAUGUUUAUUAGUUUGUUACUCUCGUAUGCCGAAAGAAAUGUACCGCCUUUCUCCAGGAAUUGUUAUGUAAAGCGAGCGAAAGUUGGAGCGAAAUGUCGUUCUACAAUAAGCGAAAAGCAAAGAGCUAUCCGUGCGGCGACUACUUCGACCGUUGCGUAAGAAAAUUCGACAGGAAAAUUCGACUACUUCGACGUUUCUCCUCGUUUCGACUUACUUGUUGGAACUGUAUAGGCAUUUUCGUGUAUUUGUUCACGGUACAAGCGUACUCGAAUUGCUCCGGAGUGAUUCCCAUGUCUUCCAUGAAACAACCGAGCAAUAAAUCCACCAAAUUUUUGUACUCUUGAUAUAUCUUCUGGUACUCGUCGUUUUCCUCUAUGUCCGCUUCGAAUACUGCGUGAGAUCAUAGAAAACAAAAGUGAAAAGGCUUCGAACAACGUUGACGGACGCGUAGAGAACAAGCCAACGGGAAAAUCGUUUGUCGACGUAGAAAGAUCGUUGCCGAAGAGACUCACUGAGCGACUUUUCCUCUAUGAAGGUAAUCAGAGGCGCGGACCAAACCGGGCCCUGAAGAAACCCGAUCAGGGAGUCGAAGACCCAGGCGCUGUCGUCUUUGUCGU